rnacentral:rRNA from 1 species
UACAGAGGUCCCGAGCGUUGUUCGGAUUCACUGGGCGUAAAGGGUGCGUAGGUGGCAGGGUAAGUUUGAUGUGAAAUCUCCGGGCUUAACCCGGAAACUGCAUUGAAUACUAUCCUGCUCGAGGGUUGGAGGGGGGACUGGAAUUCUCGGUGUAGCAGUGAAAUGCGUAGAUAUCGAGAGGAACACCAGUGGCGAAGGCGAGUCCCUGGACAACUCCUGACACUGAGGCACGAAAGCUAGGGGAGCAAACAGG